UAGCGUAUUGAUUGGUGCUUGCAUCAUGAUUUACAUUUGAGUGAGUGGCGAACUGGUGAGUAACACGUGGGAAACCUGCCCAGAAGCGGGGGAUAACACCUGGAAACAGAUGCUAAUACCGCAUAACAACUUGGACCGCAUGGUCCGAGUUUGAAAGAUGGCUUCGGCUAUCACUUUUGGAUGGUCCCGCGGCGUAUUAGCUAGAUGGUGGGGUAACGGCUCACCAUGGCGAUGAUACGUAGCCGACCUGAGAGGGUAAUCGGCCACAUUGGGACUGAGACACGGCCCAAACUCCUACGGGAGGCAGCAGUAGGGAAUCUUCCACAAUGGACGAAAGUCUGAUGGAGCAACGCCGCGUGAGUGAAGAAGGGUUUCGGCUCGUAAAACUCUGUUGUUAAAGAAGAACAUAUCUGAGAGUAACUGUUCAGGUAUUGACGGUAUUUAACCAGAAAGCCACGGCUAACUACGUGCCAGCAGCCGCGGUAAUACGUAGGUGGCAAGCGUUGUCCGGAUUUAUUGGGCGUAAAGCGAGCGCAGGCGGUUUUUUAAGUCUGAUGUGAAAGCCUUCGGCUCAACCGAAGAAGUGCAUCGGAAACUGGGAAACUUGAGUGCAGAAGAGGACAGUGGAACUCCAUGUGUAGCGGUGAAAUGCGUAGAUAUAUGGAAGAACACCAGUGGCGAAGGCGGCUGUCUGGUCUGUAACUGACGCUGAGGCUCGAAAGUAUGGGUAGCAAACAGGAUUAGAUACCCUGGUAGUCCAUACCGUAAACGAUGAAUGCUAAGUGUUGGAGGGUUUCCGCCCUUCAGUGCUGCAGCUAACGCAUUAAGCAUUCCGCCUGGGGAGUACGGCCGCAAGGCUGAAACUCAAAGGAAUUGACGGGGGCCCGCACAAGCGGUGGAGCAUGUGGUUUAAUUCGAAGCUACGCGAAGAACCUUACCAGGUCUUGACAUACUAUGCAAAUCUAAGAGAUUAGACGUUCCCUUCGGGGACAUGGAU
rnacentral:rRNA from 2 species